GGGCUUGUGGUUUAGUGGUAUAAUUUUCCCUUAGCAUUAGUCAGAGACUUAAAUCAACUGCGUGGGAAAGGUCCUGGGUUCGAUUCCCAGCAAGUCCA